GCCAGGCGUGGUGGCUCACGCCUGUAAUCCCAGCACCUUGGGAGGCCAAGAUGGGUGGAUCAUCUGAGGUCAGGAGUUCAAGACCAGCCUGGCCAACAUGGUGAAACCCCAUCUCUA
rfam:Pan troglodytes isolate Yerkes chimp pedigree #C0471 (Clint) chromosome 19, whole genome shotgun sequence.